rnacentral:rRNA from 1 species
UACGGGGGGAGCAAGCGUUGUUCGGAUUUACUGGGCGUAAAGGGCGCGUAGGCGGUCAGCACAAGUCAGUUGUGAAAUCUCCGGGCUUAACUCGGAAAGGUCAACUGAUACUGUGCGACUAGAGUGCGGAAGGGGCAACUGGAAUUCUCGGUGUAGCGGUGAAAUGCGUUGAUAUGCACAGGAACUCCGGUGGCGAAAGCGGCGAGCUGGACACCUUCUGACGCUGAGGCACGAAGGUCAGGGGAGCAAACGGG